rnacentral:rRNA from 1 species
UACGGAGGGAGCUAGCGUUGUUCGGAUAUACUGGGCGUAAAGCGUGUGUAGGCGGCUUUGCAAGUCGGAUGUGAAAGCCCCGGGCUCAACCCGGGAAGUGCACUCGAUACUGCAGAGCUUGAGUAUCGGAGAGGUUGGUGGAAUUCUCGGUGUAGAGGUGAAAUUCGUAGAUAUCGAGAGGAACACCGGUGGCGAAGGCGGCCAACUGGACGAAUACUGACGCUGAGACACGAAAGCGUGGGGAGCAAACAGG